UGGUACCGUCAGGCACCCGGAGGCAGCCUGGAGUGGGUGUCCCUUAUCAGCUCCCCCACGGGCAGUACAGAGGAGUACGGGGCAGCAGUGAAUGGUCGGGCCAAGAUUUCCCAGGACAUUUCUCGGGACAAUUCCCGGUCCGAAGUUCAUUUCUCUUUGCGGUCCCUGCAAGUUCAGGACUCUGCCCGCUACUUCUGUGCUAUCCCACGGCGACAGCGAAUGCAGCUGAGCUUCAACACAAACCUUCCAGG